rnacentral:rRNA from 1 species
UGGGGAAUAUUGCACAAUGGGCGCAAGCCUGAUGCAGCCAUGCCGCGUGUGUGAAGAAGGCCUCGGUUGUAAAGCACUUCAGCGAGGAGGAAGGUGGUGAACUUAAUACGUUCAUCAAUUGACGUUACUCGCAGAAGAAGCACCGGCUAACUCCGUGCCAGCAGCCGCGGUAAUACGGAGGGUGCAAGCGUUAAUCGGAAUUACUGGGCGUAAAAGCGCACGCAGGCGGUUUGUUAAGUCAGAUGUGAAAUCCCCGGGCUCAACCUGGGAACUGCAUUUGAAACUGGCAAGCUAGAGUCUCGUAGAGGGGGGUAGAAUUCCAGGUGUAGCGGUGAAAUGCGUAGAGAUCUGGAGGAAUACCGGUGGCGAAGGCGGCCCCCUGGACGAAGACUGACGCUCAGGUGCGAAAAGCGUGGGGAGCAAACAGAUUAGAUACCCUGGUAGUCCACGCUGUAAAACGAUGUCGAUUUUGGAGGUUGUGCCCUUGAGGCGUGGCUUCCGGAGCUAACGCGUUAAAAUCGACCGCCUGGGGAGUACGGCCGCAAGGUUAAAACUC